GGGGGAAUCUUGCGCAAUGGGCGAAAGCCUGACGCAGCAACGCCGCGUGGGGGAUGACGGCCUUCGGGUUGUAAACCCCUUCAGUCAGGGAGCGAAUCUGACGGUACCUGCAGAAGAAGCCCGCCAACUACGUGCCAGCAGCCGCGGUAAUACGUAGGGGGCGAAGCGUUGUCCGGAUUUAUUGGGCGUAAAGAGCUCGUAGGCGGCUUAGCAAGUCGGGUGUGAAAACUCCAGGCUCAACCUGGAGACGCCACCCGAUACUGCUAUAGCUUGAGUCCGGUAGGGGACCACGGAAUUCCUGGUGUAGCGGUGAAAUGCGCAGAUAUCAGGAGGAACACCGGUGGCGAAGGCGGUGGUC
rnacentral:rRNA from 1 species